GAUGAACGCUGGCGGCGUGCCUAAUACAUGCAAGUCGAGCGAACAGACGAGGAGCUUGCUCCUCUGACGUUAGCGGCGGACGGGUGAGUAACACGUGGAUAACCUACCUAUAAGACUGGGAUAACUCCGGGAAACCGGAGCUAAUACCGGAUAAUAUAUUGAACCGCAUGGUUCAAUAGUGAAAGACGGUUUUGCUGUCACUUAUAGAUGGAUCCGCGCCGCAUUAGCUAGUUGGUAAGGUAACGGCUUACCAAGGCAACGAUGCGUAGCCGACCUGAGAGGGUGAUCGGCCACACUGGAACUGAGACACGGUCCAGACUCCUACGGGAGGCAGCAGUAGGGAAUCUUCCGCAAUGGGCGAAAGCCUGACGGAGCAACGCCGCGUGAGUGAUGAAGGUCUUCGGAUCGUAAAACUCUGUUAUUAGGGAAGAACAAAUGUGUAAGUAACUAUGCACGUCUUGACGGUACCUAAUCAGAAAGCCACGGCUAACUACGU
rnacentral:rRNA from 1 species